CUCUCCGCCCACAAAUCUUGGGCAAUCUUAGAAUUAAUUAUUGAGAGGAUAUGUCUCAAUUUGUUCUGCAUUAAUGUUGUGUUGGGAAUGGAGUCAGGGCUGCAGUCAGAACAGAUACCGUACUCAGCACAUGGAAUCGAUGAACUGAGACUUGCUCCAAGUCCUGAACACACCAUCUGGAAUUCCAAUCUGAUGUUACCAUUUGUAGUUCUGACCCCAGAUUCAACACUGG